GGGGCUGUAGCUCAGCUGGGAGAGCGCCUGGUUUGCAACCAGGAGGCCACCGGUUCGAUCCCGGUCAGCUCCA
rnacentral:tRNA from 1 species